rnacentral:lncRNA from 1 species
ACAAAUUUCACUGAGUGGACUUAAAAACUAAUCAGACUUGCCUGUUAGCGCAUUACACUGAAGUUCUUGCUCAGAAAGGCCUUUGUCGUCACCGAAAGGGAUAAAAUAGAUAAUAGAAGUCAAUGAACAUGCUAACCUGCGUCUCCAGAACACCCAUAUAGUCAAUGGAAGAAUAUCCAGCUGAGGAAACAAAUCACUAAACUGUGAUAAGAAAAUAAUAAACAAACAUGUAAAUCCUGUGGAAAAAAAAAUUAAAGGAAGUAUUUACACUUUGGAGAAAAAAAAAAUACUGAAACAUGCUUGCUUUUUAACUGACGUAAAUUCAGUAGAGGACAACACGAUUCUUUUUUCUAACCAUCUUAGGGAACAAUACAUUGCAAUAAUUGAUAUAAAUGCCAUCACUGUAAUAAACUUUAGAGACUUUUUUCUAUAAAAGUUGUUGGUCAUCUUCUUGUUUGCUGUAACCUUCACUCUGUCACAUGAGCCGGUUCACAGAUUGCAUCCAUCUCCACUACCAGGAACAAAAACAAAAUGAAGAAAAUGUUGACGUUAAAUCAUCAGUCUACAAUGUAGAAUCAACAGAGACUACGGGUCACUCAUGUUAUCGAUCUUAUUUAUAAUCUUGUUUUGUGUACAAAAUUGUGGUUUUUGUACCCACCAAAAAGAAUAAAACAGCAGAUGUUCUUACAAUAUCUACAAAGCUUAAAAGGUUUUUUUUUUAUCAUUAUAAACAUUAUUUGAGAAAUUACAAGAGUAUACAAAGGAUUGUAGAAGUCAAAUGGUGGGCCAUAUUGGAAAAUGUAGCUAGCCCUUAUUCUUUUUGCAUACUAAACUGUCCUUUUGUUGCAGAUCUUUGACUGGUUAGCAGGUUAAAUUGUUAAAGAUGGAGUCUUUGAGUCUGGAAUGAAUCAUUGUCCUACAGCAACCAUACCCUGUACCUGUGCUGAAAUUUUACUUGACUGUAUUUUGCUGCAUAAAAUUAUGUGUUUGGUGGGCUUCUUCCCCCAUUCCUAUUGUUCCAUUUAAAUCCUUUGAAGGCACUAGUAAUAGUUUGGGGUGGACCACAAAUGAAUAAUUAGUCCUUGAUUUCACCUGGAAAUUAUAAUGAAAAUUAUAUCUAUAUUCAUUAAUAAAAAUUAAUUUGUUAUACAUGUAGUAAAUAAACAAGGUUCAAAGGAAGAUUUGGCUCAUUUGAAAUAAUAAAUAAGUACUCUAGUACAGAUAAAAAUCACAUACUUAGGGAUCUUGGCAGAAAGCACAAGUUAGGAUGAUUUCAAAACUCUGUCCUUGAAGGAUGAGUCAAGUUUUAAAAGGAGGAGAAGGUGUCGAGAGCCUUAUGGAUGAGCAGUGUCCAACACCAUGCAUGUCAAUGGCUUGCUUGAGGAAUGUAUGCAUCUAGGUGAGCUGGCAAGAGCACUGGUGUGAUAAUCAUGCAAAAUAAUAUGGAGAAGGUGAAGGGUUAAUUUCCUUCCCUUACCUCUUGAGAUUACCAUCCCUCGUUCAAUCUCUGCCACAGGAAGAGCAAUCUUUAAAAGUAUAAAUUUGAUAAUGCACAAGUGCACUGUUCCUUCAAGAAAUAUUCCAAGUUCUUGAGCAAAUGAAUCCCUUUGUGAUCAGGCCCUUGCUGUGUAUCUUCAAGGACUUCUCUCACUUCUAUCUAACUCCUCUGACAGAAAAUGAACCUCCCAAGCAGCACAUGGAACACUGCGUGUAUUAUUUCCUCAGUCUAUAACUCUUCCCUGUCUCCUCCUUACCGGACUAACACUCAUCCUUCAGUACUCAAAUUGAAUUGUACUUGUCCUGGGAGGACUUUCACGACUGCCCACCACCCCUGCCUACGAGUUAGGUGCCGCUCUUAAUGUUUCUCCCCCAUCACGGCACUUGCCAUACUGCAUUGUAAUUGCCUGUGUAUUUGUCUGUAAACUACUAGACUGUAAGCUCCUUGAGGGCAGGGACUGUGUCUAUCUUGUUCACAGUUGUAUCCCCAGCACCCAGCACAGUGCCUGGCAUAUUGUAGGUGCUUAAUAAAUAUUUGUUGAACGAAAAAAUGAAAUUAAUUGAAUUAAUUUAAUUAAGGGAAAGCAGAAAGACAACUGUUUCCUCACUGAAGUUCCCUGGAGUGUUCACUAAGUAUACAGUGGGUCAAAAUAAAG